CCACCAAGGCUGGCUAAUUUUUAAAUUUUUUUGUUGAGAUGGAGUCUCACUAUGUUGCCCAGGCUGGUCUUGAAUUCGUGGGCUCAAACAAUCCUCCCAUCUCAGCCUCCCAAAAAAGUGUUGAGUGGCGUGAGCCACCGGACCCGGCAAACAUUUUAAUUGAGCAGCUAUUAGUGAGUCACCAAUGGCAAACACCCUGACUUUAAUCACCUCACAUUUAUCAAUCUGAAAAGUAAAUACUUUGCCUACCAUUGUCUUUUGUUAAAGCGCAGCACCUCCUGCUCCCAUGCCACCACCCCUCACCACUUCCUAAGUUUUCUCUAAGAUUCAAGCACUUUCCAAAUAUUCUGUUCAGUACACAGUUAUCUGGUGUGAUGGCCUCUGCACAGCAUGGUUCGUGGCCUUCAGAGUCCUCAAUCUAGGCAGGAGACAGAAGUGAACAGAAUCGUUCUGAUCAAGGGCUGUAAGUACUAGAAUGGAAGAACAGUGUGCUGUGGGAAGAAAUGGAGAAAGAAAGGAGAAUUCCUACUAAAAUGGAGGCGAAGGAGGCGUUUCAGGUAGAGGAACUAGCUUGAGCAAAGGCCAGGUAGUAGAGCCACACAGGAUGUAUGAUUCUUGUGGUUAGCGUGAUGCAAAACAGGUGACUACAGGGUGGCCUUGAAUGCUGAUAUUAGACGUUUUUGCUUUAUCCUAGAGAGAAUGAGGAGCCACUGGAGGGAUCCAAACAGAGAAGUGUCAUGACCAGGUUUGAGGUGGGACUGUCAACCUGAUGGUGGUGUAGACAGCGGAUGGGAGAGACCCAAGGCCAGAGACAGGGUCUUGCUCUGUUGCCCAGCCUGGAGUACAAUGGUGCAAUCAAUCAUAGCUCACUGCAGCCUUGACCACCUGGGUCAAGCAAUCCUCCCAUCUCGGCCUCCCAAAGUGCUGGGAUUACAGAGUCUUGCUGCGUCACCAGGCUGGAGUACAGUGUCGUGGUCUCGGCUCACUGCAACCUCCACCUCCCGGGUUCAAGUUAUUCUCCUGCCUCGACCUCCAGAGUAGCUGGGAUUACAGGCGCCCACCACCACGCCCAGCGAAUUUUUGCAUUUUUAGUAGAGACAGGUUUCACCAUGUUGGCCAGGAUGGUCUCGAUCUCCUGACCUUGUGAUCCGCCCACCUUGGCCUCCCAAAGUGCUGGGAUUACAGGCUUGAGCCACAGUGCCUGGCGGAGGUGAAGUUUUUCAUUUCAAAACAUGUAGGGUUUUGGUAACUCUCUUUUGGUGGUUGAUUUCUAAUUUUAUUGCAUUAUGGGCUGAGAACCAUAACGUUCUGUAUAUGGUAAUUCUCUGGAAUGUUUUUAAGACGUCUCUUGUGACCUAAUAAUUGUCCUCAUUGGGCUACCAUUCCACGUCCAACUAAAUAAAA